UGGCGUAAGCUACCGCCGGAUCCAAAGGGCUCAGCCGUAUUUAUCUAUCCAUCCAUCCGCCGUUACCAAGUUGCGCGCGCACACGCUUCUUAGUAACCCGUGGCAACGGUUACUUUUUUUUCCUUCUCUUUGUUUGUCCCCCCGGUUUCUUUCUUUGGCCCGCUAAUUGCUCGUUUGUUCUUUUGUCUUUCUCUUUGUUUCUUUCUCUCUCCUCCUCGCUCAUCCUCCUCCGCUUUCCUUUGUUCCGAGAGGCCGGCCCCAGUGUGGUUUCGGUUGUGCUUCGGAGCAGUCGCGUAGUCACCCGUGUCCAGCUCCUGCUUUGUUCUUUGUUCCGAAAUCGGUCUUCUUCUUCUUCGGACCCCGAACGUCGCCUCACGGUUCCUGCGUUCGUCAAAGGGCCUCCUUUCGUUCGACACAUUGGGCGCAAGAGCGAGUUGCACGGCUGGCCCUCCGUUUCAAGUGACCUCCUUCAGCUGCGGAUGACCUGUGCUUAAUCAAGACCGCUUGAAUGGCAACUGAGAACUUGCUCCAAGCAAAAAGUGUUUUUAUGAAAUCGUGUUAGCUCGUGCGAAUUCACUGAAUAGGAACAAGUGUGUUUUCAUCGAGACAGCUCGUCUGGAAACUUGCAUUGUCGGCCUAAUAAAGUUUGACGUCAAGCCUAAUAAAACGUGAGGUUAAAACGGAGAAA
rnacentral:lncRNA from 1 species